UACGUAGGGUGCGAGCGUUGUCCGGAAUUAUUGGGCGUAAAGGGCUCGUAGGCGGCCAACUAAGUCGGAUGUGAAAUCCCCAGGCUUAACCUGGGAACUGCAUCCGAUACUGGAUGGCUUGAAUCCGGGAGAGGGAUGCAGAAUUCCAGGUGUAGCGGUGAAAUGCGUAGAUAUCUGGAGGAAUACCGGUGGCGAAGGCGGCAUCCUGGACCGGCAUUGACGCUGAGGCGCGAAAGCUAGGGGAGCAAACGGG
rnacentral:rRNA from 1 species